rnacentral:rRNA from 1 species
UACGGAGGGGGCUAGCGUUGUUCGGAAUUACUGGGCGUAAAGCGUACGUAGGCGGCUUUGUAAGUUAGAGGUGAAAGCCCGGGGCUCAACCCCGGAAUUGCCUUUAAGACUGCAUCGCUUGAACGUCGGAGAGGUGAGUGGAAUUCCGAGUGUAGAGGUGAAAUUCGUAGAUAUUCGGAAGAACACCAGUGGCGAAGGCGGCUCACUGGACCGUUGUUGACGCUGAGGUGCGAAAGCGCGGGGAGCAAACAGG